UACAUGUGGGGCAAGCGUUGUUCGGAAUUACUGGGCAUAAAGGGUGCGUAGGCGGCUUGCCAAGUCACUGGUGAAAGUUUUCGGCCCAACCGGAAAAUUGCCUGUGAUACUGGCGAACUUGAGUGCGUGAGGGGUGGGGGGAACGAGCAGUGUAGCGGUGAAAUGCGUAGAUAUUGCUCGGAAGCCGGAGCCGAAGGGGCCCCACUGGUACGCAACUGACGCUGAGGCACGAAAGCGUGGGGAGCAAACAGGG
rnacentral:rRNA from 1 species